UACGGGGGGGGUAAGCGUUGUUCGGAAUUACUGGGCGUAAAGGGCUCGUAGGCGGCCAACUAAGUCGGACGUGAAAUCCCUCAGCUUAACUGGGGAACUGCGUCCGAUACUGGAUGGCUUGGAUUUGGGAGAGGGAUGCGGAAUUCCAGGUGUAGCGGUGAAAUGCGUAGAUAUCAGGAAGAACACCCGUGGCGAAAGCGGCUCUCUGGAACGGUACUGACGCUGAGACGCGAAAGCGUGGGGAGCGAACAGG
rnacentral:rRNA from 1 species